AGAGUUUGAUCAUGGCUCAGAUUGAACGCUGGCGGCAGGCCUAACACAUGCAAGUCGAACGGUAACAGGAAACAGCUUGCUGUUUCGCUGACGAGUGGCGGACGGGUGAGUAAUGUCUGGGAAACUGCCUGAUGGAGGGGGAUAACUACUGGAAACGGUAGCUAAUACCGCAUAACGUCGCAAGACCAAAGAGGGGGACCUUCGGGCCUCUUGCCAUCGGAUGUGCCCAGAUGGGAUUAGCUUGUUGGUGGGGUAACGGCUCACCUAGGCGACGAUCCCUAGCUGGUCUGAGAGGAUGACCAGCCACACUGGAACUGAGACACGGUCCAGACUCCUACGGGAGGCAGCAGUGGGGAAUAUUGCACAAUGGGCGCAAGCCUGAUGCAGCCAUGCCGCGUGUAUGAAGAAGGCCUUCGGGUUGUAAAGUACUUUCAGCGGGGAGGAAGGGAGUAAAGUUAAUACCUUUGCUCAUUGACGUUACCCGCAGAAGAAGCACCGGCUAACUCCGUGCCAGCAGCCGCGGUAAUACGGAGGGUGCAAGCGUUAAUCGGAAUUACUGGGCGUAAAGCGCACGCAGGCGGUUUGUUAAGUCAGAUGUGAAAUCCCCGGGCUCAACCUGGGAACUGCAUCUGAUACUGGCAAGCUUGAGUCUCGUAGAGGGGGGUAGAAUUCCAGGUGUAGCGGUGAAAUGCGUAGAGAUCUGGAGGAAUACCGGUGGCGAAGGCGGCCCCCUGGACGAAGACUGACGCUCAGGUGCGAAAGCGUGGGGAGCAAACAGGAUUAGAUACCCUGGUAGUCCACGCCGUAAACGAUGUCGACUUGGAGGUUGUGCCCUUGAGGCGUGGCUUCCGGAGCUAACGCGUUAAGUCGACCGCCUGGGGAGUACGGCCGCAAGGUUAAAACUCAAAUGAAUUGACGGGGGCCCGCACAAGCGGUGGAGCAUGUGGUUUAAUUCGAUGCAACGCGAAGAACCUUACCUGGUCUUGACAUCCACGGAAGUUUUCAGAGAUGAGAAUGUGCCUUCGGGAACCGUGAGACAGGUGCUGCAUGGCUGUCGUCAGCUCGUGUUGUGAAAUGUUGGGUUAAGUCCCGCAACGAGCGCAACCCUUAUCCUUUGUUGCCAGCGGUCCGGCCGGGAACUCAAAGGAGACUGCCAGUGAUAAACUGGAGGAAGGUGGGGAUGACGUCAAGUCAUCAUGGCCCUUACGACCAGGGCUACACACGUGCUACAAUGGCGCAUACAAAGAGAAGCGACCUCGCGAGAGCAAGCGGACCUCAUAAAGUGCGUCGUAGUCCGGAUUGGAGUCUGCAACUCGACUCCAUGAAGUCGGAAUCGCUAGUAAUCGUGGAUCAGAAUGCCACGGUGAAUACGUUCCCGGGCCUUGUACACACCGCCCGUCACACCAUGGGAGUGGGUUGCAAAAGAAGUAGGUAGCUUAACCUUCGGGAGGGCGCUUACCACUUUGUGAUUCAUGACUGGGGUGAAGUCGUAACAAGGUAACCGUAGGGGAACCUGCGGUUGGAUCACCU
rnacentral:rRNA from 1 species